UUUCCUCCAAAACCAAAUCCAGACAAGGGAUAUACCAAACCGAAAAACUAUGAAGUCCUGAGUAGCGAGAAUGAAAAUAAGCUGACAUACAUUUGCCUUGUUGAGAAAUUCUACCCAGAAGUUAUUCGAGUGACGUGGACUGAGGGAGAUAAGGAAGUAACAGACAAUGUGGAAAAAGGAGAAAUCUGGAAAUCUGCAGAUGACGGCCAAUACUCUAUUGGAACCUGGUUAACGGUAUCAAAGGAGAAUAAAAACAAGAAAUAUUCUUGCAAAUAUGAGCAUGAAAGUGGAACAGAUUCGUUUUCCGACACUUCCAAAGAAGAUCUUACAACUACUAUGGAGAAUCAGGACUGCAAUGCAGGAAACAGUACCAUUUUUUCUCGAGAAUUGAUGGUUAAACAACACUUUUCUGUGUUUGUUCCAGAUCAAUUAAUACACAGGACGGCGUAUUUAGUGUACAUAGUCCUUCUUCUGAAAAGCUUCAUGUAUUACGUGAUCGUACUCUUCUUCAUAUACAGAAUGAGGACUCCAGCUAAGCAACAUGGAAAGGGAACGUAAGAGAAUGAUUUUGCAAGUCUUUGCUAAAACAGCAUUU